CGUUAUCCGGAUUCAUUGGGUUUAAAGGGUGGCGCAGGCGGAUUGGUAAUCAGGGGUGAAAUCCCACAGCUCAACUGUGGAACUGCCUUUGAUACUGUCAGUCUAGAGUAUAGUUGAAGUUGGCGGAAUGUGUCAUGUAGCGGUGAAAUGCUUAGAUAUGACACAGAACACCGAUCGCGAAGGCAGCUGACUAAGCUAUAACUGACGCUCAUGCACGAAAGCGGU
rnacentral:rRNA from 1 species